GCUUGGUUUAAAAAAGUCUGUAUUAUAUUUUUAAGUGUAUUUUGAAGCAAUUAAAAAGGAAAAAAUUGGUAACAUUAAUUUUGUAAAUCACAAAAGAUUGAUAACAUGAUAUCCACAACCAUCAGAAAUUAGUUCGUUUCACUCUUUACCGUGUCGGUUUUUUUGAAAUGUCUUACAAUUCAAUUUUUUGUUGAAACGUCUCUUAAGCUAAAUUAAAGACAUUUCACAUUAAUCCCAGAUUUAUAUAAAACACCAGGUAAGUAAUUAAUAUACAUUUCGGUUAAGUCGAAAUCUCCGAAUGCCUUGCUUUUUUAUGUGUAUGAAAUAUACCGUGGUCCCUUUCUCUUAGUAUCGGCGAUGGUUUGUCUACGUGUAUAUUCGGCUAAAUUUGGGCAAGUGUAUCCGAAAGAUAUACCUCUGUUUAUACGAUAUAUAUGAAAACAAAUAUUCACUUAUAAUGAUAGAAAAACCAAAAUGAUUACUGCUCUCUGACUGUCGUUCUGGGCAUAGUUUACGAUUACGAGAACAAUGAUACAGUGGCACAGUACCAAGGGAACAGGAUUGGGGAGUUGGAGGCAAGCAUCGUGCAUGAAUCGGAAAUGUGAGGAAGCGAAGAGAUAUAGAGACGUAGCUUGGUUUGGCGUGGUAAAGUGUGAGAAGUUUUCUUGUUAAAAGUGGGUGAAACACAGCUUCUAGAAUUCAGUUGCACAUUUAUUUGGGUACUACUAGAACAGUGGUCCGGUGCGCGCACUCGCGCAUCCACACUAGCUAGUUGUAAGUAGUCGAUCCUAGAACGACUCUUUAACCCUAAACGUAACCCUAACCUUUGUUUAUAAAAAUAAUUUAUUUAAUUUGUGUAAAAAAAUUAUUACAUUGUUUUAUAUAAGCAGUUUUGAAGAGAGCAGGUUAGUUAACACUGUGGACCACAGUAUUUUACUGGUACUUUAUGUUUAUCGACUCCUUGGAUAACCGAAUUGACCACUUUGCUGGCCUCUGGUCAACAAUGACAAGGAGUGGGGAGAGGAUUGUUGGAAAGUUGACACGAUACGUUUUUUUUUUUCCCUUCAUAACUUUCAGGAUCGAGUUUGGCGCCCUAUCACGAACAUGACGAAAAACCAGUCUAACGUUCAAAAUCGUUGGAAGAGGUUAUCGACUCCUUGGAUAGCCAAGGUGUCAAUGUUGACCACCUUGCUGACCCCUCGUCAAAACUGUAGAUAUGUCUGUUUGAUCUGUCAUGAAAACAGCCAACCUUUUGUAAUAAGCUUGCUCAAGCGAAGUUGACCUGGGACUAAACAACAGUGAUGCUCCAUGGGAGUCUCUAUGUGGUCGGUCGACAUGCUGGAAAUAGCAGUUAAGUUCACUUCAAAUUCUAUUAUCUGGUAUUGAAAAUUGAGAAGGAAGGCUGAGAUGGUCAUGGUAGGAAUGCCUUUCUUCAUAAUUCUACUCUGACAGGCCUGACCUGCGACUUAACAACAGUGGAUGUCUAGGCAUAUCUAGGGGGUUGGUCAACAGUAAAAAUGUUUUACCUAAACUGCCCGUUUUGGUUUUAAAACUUAAGAAUUAUCUUGAAGAAUAAUAUAGUUCAGGCAAUAGAAUGGCUGAAGCAAAGGUGGGAUGAUCAUGGCUGGAAUGCCUUUGAUCAUAGACCUACUCUAUCAGGACAGGCCUAGGGCUGAACAACAGUGACUAAUUAUGUUGCUGAAGAUAGUGUUAUCACAAAGCCUGGUGUAGUCUCCUGGGUCACCAGCUCCUCUCAAGCAGUCCAACCCAUGCCAGCAUGGAAAAUAGGCGUUAAAUGAUGAAAUGAUGAUUGUGUAGUUUAAAAUGUUACAUAAUAUCUGAAGGUGGAGGAGCCGAUGCCUGUGAAUAUGUAGACAUUACCUCAAGGUUGUAGAAUAUAAUUUUAAUAACAAAAUAGAAAGUAUCUUUUUAGGUAAAAAUUUAUAUCCACAGUUUAUCCUUAUAAAAACAUACUAACAUUUCUAUUAUUGAAUCUCUCCUUUUUAACUAUUUUCUUGAUUUUAUAUUGUUUUUAUAUCAUUUCAGAACAUCAGACGUCUGUGGCACGAACGGAUUUUUACUAGAGAUACAUCAAGAAUAUUGAUAAACUUUUAAAGACUAAAGGAAGAUGUGAUAAAUAAUUGAUAUAAACAUGUUUACAUAAUAUGUCUAUGAUCAAUAACUGUGAAAUACUUUGUUCUGGACUGAGAUUGAUAGCGACAUUUUUCUUCAUCACUGCCUGGAAUAUUUACAUUUCACAUUCCAAUUAAACAUGGAUACAUUUACAAGGAAAUCUGUAACCUUCAGAUACUGACAAAGUCACUAGAAAUAUAUAUAUAUAUAUAUAUAUAUAAACACAAGAAAAAUAUAUAUUUAUUGUGGUAGUAUCAGAAACAUUAUAGAACAAUGAGUUAUGUUAGAAAGGAUGGCUUAUUUCCUGAAGAAACGACGAGAAAAAGAGAAAAAUUAUCAUACCAUUGUGAUAUCUGCAAAAAGUCUUUCUCUCAGAGAGGUUACCUAACUACUCAUAAAUGCAUUUCUACAGGAGAGAAGCCAUAUCACUGUGAUAUCUGUGGUAAAUCAUUCUCUCAAAAUAACCUCUUGACUAAACAUAAAUACUUUCACACAGGAGAGAAACCAUAUCACUGUGAUGAUUGUGGGAAGUCAUUUUCAACAAAUAGUACCUUAAAAACUCAUAAAUGCAGUCACACAGAAGAAAAACAAUAUCACUGUGAUAUUUGUGGUAAAACAUUCCCUGCGUUUAGUAACUUAACUAUACACAAACGCAUUCACACAGGUG
rnacentral:lncRNA from 1 species